UGAACUUCUGAUGGAAAGUAGUACUCGGCAAAGUUUGAAGUUUCUUCAUUGAUCAUCUGUGCGACUAUAGAACCUUCCACCCUACUUAAAUUUUUCACCAUCUUCUUCAAAUGGAACAUAUACCGCUCAUACAGAUACAUCCAUCUAUACUGCACAGGACCACCAAGUUCCAAUUCUCUUGCCAGGUGAAUAACAAGAU
rnacentral:lncRNA from 1 species